GACGAAGGGGGCUAGCGUUGUUCGGAAUUACUGGGCGUAAAGCGCGUGUAGGUGGUUGUCCAAGUUGGAUGUGAAAGCCUUGAGCUUAACUCAAGAAAUGCAUUCAGGACUGGAUGACUAGAGGACCGGAGAGGAUAGUGGAAUUCCCAGUGUAGUGGUGAAAUACGUAGAGAUUGGGAAGAACACCAGUGGCGAAGGCGGCUAUCUGGACGGUUUCUGACACUAAGACUCGAAAGCGUGGGGAGCAAACAGG
rnacentral:rRNA from 1 species